GGUGUCUGUGGGGCAGAGGGGGCAUCUAUGGGGCCUGUUUCUAUGGGGUCUUGAUUUCUGUGGGUCGUUCUGUGGGUCUCUAUGGGGCCAGGGUGGGUCUCCGUGGGUCGCUAUGGGGCGGGGGGGGCAUCUAUGGGGCAGAGGGAGCAUCUAUGGGGCAGAGGGAGCAUCUAUGGGGCUCGUUUCUACGGGAUUUUUUUUCUGUGGGUCGUUCUGUGGGUUUCUAUGGGGCCAGGGUGGGUCUCCGUGGGUCGCUAUGGGGCAGAGGGGCAUCUAUGGGGCAGAGGGAGCGUCUAUGGGGCCCGUUAUUAUGGGUUUUUUAUCUAUGGGUCAUUUUGUGGGUCUCUAUGGGGCAGGGUGGGUCUCCGUGGGUCGCUAUGGGGCGGAGGGCGCAUCUAUGGGGCAGAGGGGGCAUCUAUGGGGCCCAUUUCUAUGGGGUUUUUCUCUGUGGGUCAUUCUGUGGGUCUCUAUGGGGCCAGGGUGGGUCUCCGUGGGUCGCUAUGGGGCAGAGCGGGCACUUGUGGGGCUGAGCCCCAUGGCGCCUCUCUGCCCCACAAGUGGAGGAGAUCCCGGAGGAGGAGGAGGAGGCGGCGGCCCCACCGCCGGCGCUGGAGGUGCCCGAGGAGCCCAGCCUGCCCCCGGAGCUCCCCCCUCCGCGGCGGCGCCGCGCCCCACGGCCGCCCCACUGGGACCCCCAAGUGCAGAUCCCGCAGCAGGAAUUCCGCCAGCAGCUGCUCGACCCCGGCGCCCGCUGCCGGCCCCUGGUGAUCCCGGAGCCGCCCCACAAGCGUCGCCGGAGCCCGGAGGAGCUCUUCCAGACCCCGAGCGCGGGCUGGCUGACCCCCGAGCUGUGGGAUCUGUGGGUCCGGGGCGCCCGCCCCACGGCGCCGGAGCUGCCCAGCGAGUUGGAGGUGAGCUGUGGGGCGCGCUGUGGGGCGCGCUUUGGGGCUGGGACCCACGGCUGCGCCCCACACAGGAGCCCAGGGAGCUGCUGGAGCCGAGCGUGGGGCUGCCGCCGUCCUCGGGUACGCUGUGGGGCGCUAUGGGGCGGCUGGGGGGGCGCUGGGGG
rnacentral:lncRNA from 1 species